GAUAGUGGAGCACUGGUUCUAAACAAUGAUUUCAAUCCCACCUUAUUUAAAUUUAAAUCUAUCGAUGAACAGUUUAAGUUAUAUAAAAUGCUUAUUCGACUUAAAGCUUCAUUCUUGCCAUAGUUAGUUCUAUGGAAGUCAAUAUGUAUAAAAUCAAAUGUGCGCAGGUGAUGAGUUCCGCCCCGGUAAUUCAAAUGUACACAAGAUAGCAAAUAAGGAUCUUCCCAAGGAAGACCUUUUAGGGCAAAGCGAAUGAAAUUAUGUUGAAUUGAUUCAAUACGUUUUCUAUGAAUUUCGUAAUAGGGAGUCCAUACCUGCGAAGCAUAUUCAAGAUGAGGACAAAUAUGGCAAUUAUACAAAGAAAGGGUAACAUAGGGAUCAUUGAACUCCUUUGCCCAGCGUUUUAUAAAACCAAGCAUAGAACUUGCCUUAUUAACAACAAAAUUAAUGUGAUGUGUAAACUCUAAAGCCUAGUACAUACUUGUGAACCAUCUCGUGAACCCAUACAAAUUUCAGUUUUUGGUUCACCCGUGAACUUGCUCGUGAAGCUGAGUGGAGAACAAAGUGGAGAGUUUUCGUUCACGGGCAAUUCACGUGCAAAAUGUACGGGAACUGUUGGUGAAGCUUUGACAUUUGGUU